GAUGUACUAGAAGAAAUUAGUAAGAUUUUAGAUGGAGCAGCUGCAACUAAAGAGCAAAAGGGCAGUAAGAAAUUCCCAAUCCCAGCAAUAAAACCCAGAUAAAAACACCCGAAAUUGAGGCAGAUCGCUGUUAGAUGAUUUUGUUUCUUCCAUUAGUUUCUUUCUAUUCUCUGUUGCAAAUCUAACACAAAAUAUACCAUAACUUUCCUGAUCAAAUCAAAUGUCCUCUCCUCCUGCAUACUAUAGUCUAUAUACAUAAUUACAUAUAGCAAGGUUCUGUUAUAUAGGGAGGAAGAGAGGGAGAGAGAGAAAAAUAUAAAACUAGGUUCUAUUAAUAAUUCCUCAAAUUAAUUAAUUAUUAAAGACAGUGAGAGUAGCCAAUAAUAAUAAAAUAAAUUAAAAAAGAUCGGCUUUUGUCUUCUGCCAGCUACCCAAUAGUCUCUAGUCUAAUCUACGAAAAAAGAGGAGAGAGAAGUAGGGAAUUUUCGACUUAAAGUCAAAAUUGAACCACACAAA
rnacentral:lncRNA from 1 species